CAGCAGAAUUGAAAAAAAAAUUGAUAGUACAGAAAAGGAGAAACCUGGAGCUGUGGGCUUGAUUGGUGAGAGGUAAUAGAACUUAGUGCACAAGUAUAGGCACCAGACCAUCCCCGGGUUCAAGAGAUAAAGCAGACUUAUGUGGGCACAGGUUAGCAAGCUGAAGCAAGGGAAGAGAAGAACAGUUUAAUAAUCAAAGAGCGUGAUUAUAAUGAUGCCCCCAUGGAGCUGAAGAAUAGAGAACCUACAGACCCGCAUGUAUUGAAGUUUGAAACCACCUGUGUAAACAGCACACAGAUGAAGGACCACUUUACCCUGUUUCUCACACCAUAGGUGUCAUAGACAUACUAAUGAAGGGGCUGCCUCACACAGAGAGCUAUCUUACAAGGUUCUGAGAAUAAAAUGAGAGCUAGAAGAGACAUGAUUUCUACUUCAAUAUUUUAUUUGGCAACAUCCUACUGAAAAGACAAGCAAAACCACUAUGAUUCAUAAUACUUGCAGAUGAAGGCAAUAUGACACAAGAAGGUUAAACGGCCUCUCAUGACAAUUGAAGGGAACGAGAGCAAAGCCACCUGCAUAUCUUCGGCAGUUAAAGAUCAGAAUCAUAACAACAAUAACAUCUCACAAUUUUCCAAGUGCUCCUUCGGCUCUGUCUUUUUCCUCCCACCUGAGGCCCCCAGGGUGGGUGUAGACAUUCAUCUCUGCUUCAUUUGAUCCACCUCUGCUUGGCCACUGCUGGACUUUUUCUCAGGCAAAGGAGAACCCCCAGGAGAGUGGAUAAACUGGACCAAGGAGCUGCAGAGCUCAAAUAGAACACUUCUCCUUCAAAAUUUAACUCAGCUCUCGGAAACACUGAAAGGAAAUGUGGCCUAUAAUUAUCCAACGUGAGAUGCAAGGAUUGAAUGCUUUGUCCAAGCUUUGCUGUUCUAAGAGAAGUCAAGGUGAAGGGUUUAGUGCCUCUGAAGCUGGGGCAAGAAAACAAUCGGCUUCUCCAACGGUCAGUAAAGAAUACAAGGGCACAGUUAAAACAGAGCCACUGAAGUGAACAACCUUCAUGUGACCAACAGGAGAAACACCCCCUCCAGGAACCUAAGACCAGUUUGCUACAAGAAUACAAUUGGUAUUCCCCACAGUCACCCUCACAAGGGACACUUACAAAGCACACUCCAAUCUCAGCCAUUACUGACUGACAAGAGCCUGCCUGUCUGAAGCCUGCAGGCCCGAGAAGCUUCUUUCUCCCUUCUCUUGGCUAUUAGUCACAGCUGGUAAGGCUCACAGGAACCGAGACUGUUUGAAAACAGUUGGAUCACGAAAACGUUUGAGUCUUUCUGCUGCAAGCAACAAACUUGGCCCAGGCUGCCACAAGGAGAUGGAGUGGGAGUGGGGGUGGCGAUGGGAUGCACCAGGAACGAAGGAAGAAAGGGAAAUUGCUAACCACCUCACUUCAAAAUCUUCUCUGAGGGAGCCCGUGGCUAUUAUCCUGGUUCAAAUGUCACAGAUAGAAGAUAAUAAAAACAAGAAGAAAUAAAAUUCAAGAUCCAUUAGAACACUUCUGGAUUGUCCAUUACAGCAUGUAUUACCCAACAGAAAGAUGAUCACUAAUAGAUGACAAGCUAUUUAAUUUUAUGUUUACUUUUGGAAGGAUGCAGGUACUGUGCAGGGUUUCUACAACACAUCAGCAUUGCUUACACCAGUACUUCAAAUAUGAGUUAUUUAAUCACCCAAGUUAAAUGAAAAUAACCAAAUGAUUAAAUAAAAUCAAGUCAUACUUCAUGUGAAGACUUUA
rnacentral:lncRNA from 1 species